CUAAUCUUCAGAUUUUAGCAUAUCCCCAAAUGUAAAAAAUAAAAAAGGAGGAACAUUUAGUGUACAGUUGGCCAGUUUGGUGUACAAUGUGUUCCUAAAUUUUACCCCACAUUAUGUAUAUUAUGUACUCCUAGAGUUACAUAUUAGAAUUGUUUGUUUUUAUGUAAGACUUGAGAUUAAUUCCUUCUCUAGAAAUUAAUUAACUUCUAAGAAUAAAAUAUAAAUUUAUUUUAAUGCAUUUCAUUGUUUGUGUCAAACACAUGUAGUCGAUCAUGGUUUGUGGUAUAAACAUUUUUAAUAGGGACUUGUAUUGCCGUUUCAUGACAAAAAACCGGUUUCUAGCAGAAUGUUCUGAGAUGUUUAUAUGCAUCUCUAUUUACUUGUAGCUUGUCAUUUUAAUUAUUUAUGUUACUUUUCCUUGAUUGUAGCCCGUUUGUGUUUUGUGGUUACUAUAUUGAUGACAAUAAAAGAAUUUCUUGCUGCU
rnacentral:misc_RNA from 1 species